UACAGAGACUGCAAGCGUUAUUCGGAUUCACUGGGCGUAAAGGGUGCGCAGGCGGUUGGGUGUGUCAGAUGUGAAAUCCCGAGGCUUAACCUCGGAACUGCGUCUGAAACUACUCGACUAGAGUACUGGAGAGGGAAACGGAAUUCACGGUGUAGCAGUGAAAUGCGUAGAUAUCGUGAGGAACACCAGAGGCGAAGGCGGUUUCCUGGACAGUUACUGACGCUCAUGCACGAAAGCGUGGGGAGCAAACAGG
rnacentral:rRNA from 1 species